AUUGCGCUAUUUUGCAUGGACUGGCUGCUGCUGUUAUCGGCUAAAUCUGCAGGGCACCAUCCUCGCUCUGCUGACUCAGACCAGAUCAAGGCGUGGGGAGUCUUCUUUUUGGCAUCGGGGCAGGAGAGAGGAUCUGGAAUUACUGGGCAUCGCGCCAUGUGAUGAUGGUGUCUCACUUGUUUUGUAUGUGUAAACGCAUAGCAGCGAGCUUUACAUCAAUAAGACGCAAAGGAGUUUCCUCACUGCGUAGGAAAAGGCUUUUCAUGUUCCACUCCACUUCAACCUUCUUCUGCAGAUACAAGCUUUCCCCCAGUAGGAUAUACAGGUAACCAGAGCAACCAGCGGAUUCAGUGACAUCGGACACCGCCAAGGAGAAUUGACUCUUUUCUCCAAGCCACGGGAAACACAGGAUGCAAUCUAGGCCUCUCAACCAUCAGCAUGCUACCCAGCAACACAGGCCCAAAGCUUGGGUUACCACCUUACCCUCUUCUCUUUGUGCAUCUCUCCAUUCAGCAGCAAGAAAGACAACUAAAGCUGUUUCAGGCCCUGAGGUGCGAUUUACUGCUUUUAGGCACCAAAGUGGCUUGUUGUCACCAUUCGGAUUGUGUAUGAAUUAAACAGGAAGGGCUUCUAAAACACUGAUUUUCAACUUAAACAUUUUGAAAAAUUGUUAUGACACUUAAUAAAGUUAGCUGGCAGUUAAUUCCCACACAAUA